UAGUACUGGCGGUGGCGAUUGACCCUGCCGAACUACCUACUACGCUGGUCCGUACAUGGGUACCCACCGAAGUAACCCUAUGGUAAGCGAACGCGGAACCACUCAAAGAGUAGAAAAUAAUCUUACUCUGUAUACUUUACAACCCACCGCGUACCACCCAGCGAACUAGUUCGAUGGGGCUGCAACGUCUCACCAGUAGAUGAAAGAAACGAAAAAAAACGAAACAAAAGAACAGGCGGCAUUUACGUAGACUUAGGAAGGAAACUAGCGAUAAAUAUGCUAACAAACUAAAACUAGUGAGGGCAGAGACAGUGUCGUCCAGUGAAACAGAAAAAGUUGAGGUACUAUCUGUCCAGGGACUGGUACAGAUGGACAAAGAUAUAAACAGCUCAAACAGAGAUUUAUACAUUGAUGCAAUAAAAACGAUUCUCCUGCCAAGCGGUAUUUUAAAAAAUUUUAAAAAUAUUCUUGCUAAUGCCGUUGUGUUAGCCUAUAACGUGGAUGGAGUGCAAGGCAAGUCGGCUCUGAAAGAUCUUAAGAAUUUUUAUGGAGUUUUGCUUGAGGCAGGGACUGGAUCAGCGGAAAUACAACUAAGAAAAGCUCUUCAGCUGCAAAAAAAACGACAUUUUAAAAAUAUAAGCAACAAUAACAACAACAAAAUAAUAGAUAAUAAUA